rnacentral:rRNA from 1 species
UACGGGGGGGGCAAGCGUUGUUCGGAAUUACUGGGCGUAAAGGGCUCGUAGGUGGCCAACUAAGUCAGACGUGAAAUCCCUCAGCUUAACUGGGGAACUGCGUCUGAUACUGGAUGGCUUGAGUUUGGGAGAGGGAUGCGGAAUUCCUGGUGGAGCGGUGAAAUGCGCAGAGAUCAGGAGGAAUACCGGUGGCGAAGGCGGCAUCCUGGACCAACACUGACGCUGAUGAGCGAAAGCCAGGGGAGCAAACGGG